rnacentral:tRNA from 1 species
CGGUGCCCCCGGUGGGACUCGAACCCACACUGUACAGAUUUUGAGGCUGUCUCCUCUACCAAUUGGGAUACAGGGGC